rnacentral:rRNA from 1 species
UACGGGGGGAGCAAGCGUUGUUCGGAUUUACUGGGCGUAAAGGGCGCGUAGGCGGCCAGCACAAGUCAGUUGUGAAAUCUCCGAGUUUAACUCGGAAAGGUCAACUGAUACUGUGCGGCUAGAGUGCGGAAGGGGCAACUGGAAUUCUUGGUGUAGCGGUGAAAUGCGUAGAUAUCAAGAGGAACACCUGCGGCGAAGGCGGGUUGCUGGGCCGACACUGACGCUGAGGCGCGAAAGCUAGGGGAGCGAACGGG